rnacentral:rRNA from 1 species
UACGUAGGUGGCAAGCGUUGUCCGGAUUUACUGGGCGUAAAGAGCGCGCAGGCGGUCGUAUAAGUCGAAUGUGAAAGCCCUGGCUCAACUAGGGAGAGUCAUUCGAUACUGUUCGACUCGAAGGCAGGAGAGGGAAGUGGAAUUCCGGGUGUAGUGGUGAAAUGCGUAGAUAUCCGGAGGAACACCAGUGGCGAAGGCGACUUUCUGGCCUGUUCUUGACGCUGAGGCGCGAAAGCUAGGGGAGCAAACGGG